CACAAAUUUUUCUAGUAGAUAUAUUUCGCAUAUGUAUAGCGCUUUUCUGAGUCUUUGAAAUUAUCUUUAGAUGCAGUCAUACCUAACACCGUAUUCAUUUAGGAUCCAUUUGAAUGUUAUUCUCCCGUCUACGUCUACUCCUCGAAAUGAAACCAGUUUUGCAAAUCAUAUGUACGAAGAUGUGGAUACUUGUGUUGUUAAACUUGAAGAAUCGUGUCAUCGACUGUAGAACUGUACAUAAAUAAUGCAAUAAGCCUAAGUGAAAUUUUAGUGCCGGAUCUUGAAUUUGGUCCUUUUAGGUAAGAAGUGGAUUGCUGGCACUGAGUGGAUGGAAUUUCUGCUUGCACUGCGUUCUUCAAGACACCCUAAAUCCUGGAAGGUAAGGAGGUGGGCCAUUCAUUUACUUCAAUCUGCUUUGAAAGACCUGCAGGUGGCGUGGGAUUUCUAGUCCUUACUACUCGUUUCGGUGUGACUAGGAGGAGCUGAAGACAACCACGAAUGAAGUGUGAUAUCCUGUCACUGGACCGACAUUUGAACGCGAGACUUCGCGAUUACGAAGCCGGAAUGCAAACAUUUAAGUCUUGACGUUCGGUACCCGGAAGGGAUUGAGAUGUAAGCUCCAACUGAGAUCUGAAGUGACGAGUGACUGAUCGAUCGGGCCUAUAACACGCUCCAGAGACGAUGGCGGAUGAGAAUGGACC